AGCAGCCGCGGUAAUUCCGGCUCCAAUAGCGUAUAUUAAAGUUGUUGCAGUUAAAAAGCUCGUAGUUGAAUUUCGGGAUCAAUUUGCUGGUCGUGCCUUCGGUACGCACUGGUAUUAUUGGUUUCUCCUUUCUGAUGAAUCGCGAUGUCAUUAAUUUGGUGUCGUGGGGAAUCAGGACCGUUACUUUGAAAAAAUUAGAGUGUUUAAAGCAGGCUCACGCUUGAAUACAUUAGCAUGGAAUAAUGAAGUAGGACGUUUGAUUCUAUUUUGUUGGUUUCUAGGAUCGACGUAAUGAUUAAUAGGGAUAGUUGGGGGCAUUAGUAUUCAAUUGUCAGAGGUGAAAUUCUUGGAUUUAUUGAAGACUAACUACUGCGAAAGCAUUUGCCAAGGAUGUUUUCAUUAAUCAAGAACGAAAGUUAGGGGAUCGAAGACGAUCAGAUACCGUCGUAGUCUUAACCAUAAACUAUGCCGACUAGGGAUCGGAUGAUGUUAAUUUUUAAUGACUCAUUCGGCGCCUUAA
rnacentral:rRNA from 1 species